CCUUUUUAGGUUAACUGCAUUAUAAUGAUAGGUUGUGUAGUGUACCACUGCCAUCUAGUGGCAGAAGUUAAUAUCAGCUUUACUUACACAGAUAGUUUAUACAGACAGGAAGUGACCUUUGUUCCAGGAAGCUCUUCCACCAUCUUGAGGUCAUUCUUCCACUGGGCAGGCAGCAUGUAUCUAUCUCUCCCAUGAGGUUUGGGACAUCAUCACCUGUAAGUGCCUUUCUGCUUAGUUAUUUGUCAUUUAUGCUAGGCUAAUGAUUCCAUGUGUACUGAUAUGUUGUUAUUGUAUUGUAUUGCAGUUUCACAGACUAAAAUAAAGUUGGAGUCCUCUGGUGGACAAUACAAGCAUGGGCUUCUGUUUACUGGAGUCUCUAACAAGUGUUUAGCUGUCCGUUUAGAACCACACAUAGUCAGUGUUUUGAGAGCGGAACAGUGAAAAGGUGGUAGCACAACAAGCCUGGAGAUAGUAGUUGCUGCACAGACAGAAUGAGUCUAAGAUCAGGAAGUCAGUAUAAUGCUGAAGAUCAGCUACCCGGGACACAUCAAGGCAGGGAGAGCGCGCCAAGUGUCCAGCAGGAUGAUGUACGCUCACGCUCAUCUAGAUCAGCAAGGUCCAGUCAGAUUUCAUCAGCAAGUGCCCUUUUUGCCAGGGCUCGCGCCAAAGCAGAGGCUGCUCGCGUUCAGCUAGAAUUUGCUGAGAAAGAGGCUGCCAUUAUGAAGGAAAGAUCAGAGAAAGAGGCUGCCAUUAUGAAGGAAAGAUCAGAGAAAGAGGCUGCCAUUAUGAAGGAAAGAUCAGAGAAAGAGGCUGCCAUUAUAAAAGAAAAAACUGAACAGGAAGCAAAGUUGCAUAUUCUUCAACGUCAGUGUGCAGCCGCUGCUGCAGCAGCAGAAGCAGCAGCUUAUGCGGAUAUUGAGCGGUCUGGAAUGGAAUCUAUCCACGAAGGCCCAGAUGUGCCCGAGAAACCGCUUUCCUCUGCAGAACGCACUAGGGCGUAUGUCCAAGAUAUUUCAAGUGGCAGCUCAACAAUACCGUUUCUCAAUCCAAAGUCAGCUGAAUUUAAACCAAAACCAUCAGAACUCCUGAGCGCACGAAAACAAACCCAUGAGGCUGGCAGUACCAGAGUGAUAAAAGAAGAAUCCUCACCGCAGCAACCCAAACACCAGAGCAUGCAAGACGUCACUAAAUAUCUUAUCCGUAAAGAAAUGGUUAAUACAGGCUUCCUCAAGUUUGAUGACUGCCCAGAAAAUUACUGGGCAUGGAAGGCUUCUUUUCUGAAUGCAGUCAAAGACUUGGACUUAACAGCAGCUGAGACGCUAGACCUGAUGGUAAAGUGGCUUGGGUCUGAGUCUGCAGAGCAUGCAAGAAGGAUGCGCAGGAUACACCUAUUUAACCCUUCAGUAGGACUCGAUAUGGCCUGGCAAAGGCUAGAAGAAAGAUAUGGAUCACCAGAGGCAAUUGAAGGUGCUCUGAUGAAAAGACUGGAGUCUUUCCCUAAGCUAAACAGCAAAGACAAUUUAAAACUGCAAGAGCUGGGUGAUAUUCUUUGGGAAGUCCAGUGUGCCAAAGAAGAAGGUUAUUUAAGGGGACUUGCACAUUUAGAUACUGCCAACGGUACUAAGCCUAUAGUGGAGAAACUACCUCACCACCUGCAAGAGAAAUGGGUGAGUGUUGGAGCUAAAUACAAAGAAGAACAUGGUGUCCCCUUCCCCCCUUUCUUUGUGUUUUCUAGGUUUGUACAGCAGCAAGCUAAGAUGAGGUGCGAUCCCAGUUUUUCCUUCAUCACCAGCAGCCAACUGCCUAAGGCAGAAAAGCCACCUAGAUCCUACAAUAGGACUUCAGUGAUCACCCACAAGACAACAGUUCCCUCUGAGGACCCAGGAGAUUCAAGCAGCUACAAGGUAAACACCUUUGAAGGCCCUGACAGACUUUGCCCACUUCAUAAAAAGCCCCAUCCUCUAAACAAGUGCAAAGGGUUCAAAAGUAAACCUAUCAAGGAAAGGUUAGCCUUUCUUAGACAAAACGGCAUAUGCUUCAAGUGUUGUGAAUCCACCAAACAUAUAGCUAAAGACUGCAAAAUACAAGCAAAUUGCUCAGAAUGUGGCAGUGACAGACACAUCUCAGCUCUGCACCCCAAUACUUUGCAUCAACCAUUAGAGGUCACUGAAACCCCAAAAGAUGAGGGCAGGGAGCAAAAAGAUAAAUCAGCUAUCCCAGUAAUGUCCAAAUGCACUGAAAUCUGUGGUGACAGUACAAAUCCACGAUCAUGUUCCAAGAUCUGCCUAGCAACAGUGUACCCCACAGGGAAAAGAGAAAAGGCAGUAAAGAUGUAUGUGGUUCUGGAUGAACAAAGUAACAGGUCGCUGGCAAGGUCAGACUUUUUUGAUGCCUUCAACAUUACAUCAAGGGCAGUUCCAUACACCCUAAAGACAUGUGCAGGAGUGAUAGAAACUUCAGGGAGAAGAGCUACUGACUUUACUAUUGAGUCUCUUGACAAGAGGAUCCAUCUCUCACUUCCCACUUUGAUAGAGUGUGAUAUGAUACCAGAUGAUAAAUCAGAGAUCCCUACACCAGAAGUGGCCCUUCAUCAUCCUUAUCUUAAUGCAAUAUCUCACCUUAUUCCAGCUGUCCAGACAGACGUCUCUAUUCUUCUACUUCUUGGAAGAGACAUUCUACAGGUGCAUAAGGUACGCCAACAAAUUAAUGGACCAUUUAAUGCCCCCUAUGCGCAAAGACUUGACUUGGGGUGGGUUAUAGUUGGAGAAGUUUGUUUGGGAGCAGCUCAUCGGCCUGACAGUGUCAACACUUCUAAGACAUCUGUGUUAACAAAUGGACGCACGUCCCUUCUCAGUCCAUGCCAAAACAGCUUUGUUGUUAAAGAAACCCUAAAACCAUACUGUGGCUCUCCUUCCAGUUAUGAUAGGAAUAUUAGUAGUGGUCUGAAGACCGACAAUUUAGGGAACUCAGUGUUCCAGAAGACAAAAGAUGAUGACAAACAAGCAAUGUCCAUAGAUGAUCAAACCUUUCUCCACAUCAUGGAUAAAGAGACUUUCCAAGAUAAGAACAACAAUUGGGUAGCCCCUUUACCUUUUCGCAAACCAAGGUGUUAUUUACCUAGUAACAGAGAGCAAGCCAUGAAGCGCUUAAACACACUACGCAAAACUUUGCAAAGAAAGCCUGAAGUGAAAAAAGACUUUACAGAAUUUAUCAAAAGGAUGCUGGACAAUAAUCAUGCUGAAUUAGCACCAUCACUGGAUAAAGGUAAAGAACACUGGUAUCUGCCAAUGUUUGGCGUUUACCAUCCACACAAGCCAGAUCAAAUAAGAGUUGUGUUCGAUUCCAGUGCUCAACAGGAAGGCAUUUCACUAAAUGAUGUACUGCUGAGUGGCCCAGACCUAAACAACACACUUCUGGGUGUCCUCUUACGCUUCAGGAAGGAGCCUAUUGCCUUCACAGCUGAUGUGCAACAGAUGUUUUAUUGUUUUCUAGUGAGAGAGGACCAUCGAGACUACCUGCGUUUCCUGUGGUACAAGGAUAACGACAUAGAUAAAGAGGUAACAGAGUACAGAAUGAGAGUACAUGUUUUUGGUAACAGCCCUUCCCCCGCUGUUGCCAUAUAUUGUAUGCGGAAAGCUGCCCAGAAAGGUGCAGAACGUUAUGGUCAAGAUGCCAAGCACUUUGUGAUGAGACAUUUCUAUGUAGAUGACGGACUUGCUUCAGCGAACACACCUGAAGGAGCAGUUAACAUUCUCAACAAAGCAAAACAAAUGCUGGCAGAGUCUAAUCUGCGACUACAUAAGAUUGCCUCUAACAGCAAACAAGUCAUGGAAGCUUUCACCGCAGAAGACAGAGCUAAAGACCUCAAAGACCUUUGCCUGGGAACAGACACCCUUCCAUUGCAGAAAAGUCUAGGCCUAAGCUGGGAUCUAGAUAAAGACUGUUUUGUGUUUCAGGUUUCUUCAGCAGAAAAGCCAUUCACAAGAAGAGGGAUCCUAUCCACUGUUAACAGUCUCUACGACCCUCUCGGGUUUGUGGCACCAGUCACCAUAAAAGGUAAGGCCUUAGUUCGUGAACUAUCAAGUGGAGAAAGUGAGUGGGAUGCCUUACUUCCACAAGAAAGACUCCAAGAGUGGGUCCAAUGGACAGAGUCUUUACAAGCCUUACAAUGUUUACAAAUAUCCAGGUGUUAUGUACCUCUUUCAUUGUCACAGGCCUGCAAAAAAGAACUGUACAUCUUUUCAGAUGCAUCUGUUAUAGCAAUAGGUGCCGUUGCUUACUUGAAGGUAAGCGAUGUAGGAAAUGUCUGCCAUGUUGGAUUUGUUAUGGGAAAAUCCAAGCUAAGUCCUAGGCCAGCACACACAAUCCCACGUCUAGAGUUAUGUGCAGCUGUACUAGCGGUUGAACUGUAUGAGCUAGUGAGAGACGAGAUAGACCUAGACCUAGAUGCUGUGAAAUUCUUUACAGACAGUAAAACAGUCCUAGGCUAUAUCUGCAACACUACAAAGAGAUUCUUUUUAUAUGUUUCUAAUCGGGUGAACAGGAUCAGACAAACAACACGUCCAGAGCAAUGGUUCUAUGUGCCCUCAGAACAAAAUCCUGCAGAUUAUGCUACCAGGCCUACACAGAUAGCUUGCCUUCAGAACUCUAUAUGGUUUUCAGGGCCAACUUUUCUGUAUCAGACGGCUGUAGAUAGUCCUGACACCAAUGUUUACCCUUUAGUGGAGCCCGAAGCUGAUCCUGAAAUUAGGUCAGAAGUAGUAAGCUUCAGUACUAAAGCCCUUGACGCUAGACUGCAGCCACAUCGUUUUUUAAGAUUUUCGGACUGGAAGAGACUGAACAGGGUUAUAGCGAAGUUAAUCCAUGUUACCAAAAGCUUCCAAAAGAAACCUAAUGAUGAUCAACCUGGAAGUUGGAGAGUUUUCCAUGAAAGGGUUAGUUUAGAAGAACUUUCACUAGCCAAGAGAGUUAUAAUUUCUUCUGUACAGCGCACAUGUUUCAGGCAAGAAUAUGACUGUAUUGAACAGCAAAAGAUGCUUCCUAAACAUAGCCGUCUUACAAAACUAAGUCCCUUUAUAGAUCAAUAUGGAUUAUUGAGAGUAGGUGGCCGUUUAUCUUAUGCCACGCUGUCAGAUGAAGAGAAACAGCCUGUCAUCAUUCCUCACGAUCACUACAUUGCUACCUUGAUCAUAAGAUAUUAUCACAGUCAAACAGUACACCAAGGGCGACACAUUACUGAAGGUGCAAUCAGAGCUGCAGGAUUCUGGAUUCUUGGUGGAAAACGUCUAGUGUCUGCAAUCAUUCACAAAUGUGUCGUAUGCCGUAAGCUCAGAGGGAGAUUUGAAAGCCAAAAGAUGGCAGAAUUACCAAAAGAUAGAGUCAAUCCUGAACCUCCAUUCACUAGUGUGGGUGUUGAUGUGUUUGGUCCCUGGGAAGUUGUAACACGCCGAACUAGAGGAGGCAGCGCUGACAGCAAACGCUGGGCUGUUCUUUUCACGUGUCUUUCUAUAAGAGCAGUGCAUAUAGAAUUGAUUGAGUCCAUGUCAGCAUCCAGUUUCAUCAAUGCUCUGAGAAGAUUCUUUUCUGUUCGUGGUCCGGCUAAGUUGAUUCGCUCAGAUAGAGGUACGAACUUUGUAGGAGCAUGCAAGGAGCUGCAUAUAUGCUCAAAUGAUGCAGAACUUCUAGAUUAUCUCCAAGACAAAGGAUGUACAUGGCUCUUUAACACUCCACACUCAUCUCACAUGGGAGGUGCUUGGGAGAGAUUAAUUGGUGUGGCUAGACGAAUUUUAGAUGCAAUGUUGCUCCAAUCCAAACCCACUCACCUGACUCAUGAGACUUUGAGUACUUUCAUGGCAGAAGUUAUGGCCAUCAUUAAUUCAAGACCUUUGGUACCAAUAUCUACAGAUCCAGAUAACCCAACAGUUCUUACCCCUGCUAUGCUCUUGACCCAAAAGGUAGACUCUUUAUCAGCCCCCUGUGGAGACUUUAGUACAACAGAACUUCAUGCAAAGCAAUGGAAACAAGUCCAAUGUCUGGCUGAUACAUUUUGGAAGAGAUGGAGGAGAGAUUACCUAUUUACCUUACAAAGUCGCAAGAAAUGGGCAGAGACUGGUCCCAAUGUCAAGGUGGGAAAUGUUGUGUUAUUGAAAGAUAUUCAAGAAAGCAGAAAUAACUGGCCUAUGGGAAUUGUCACAAAUACGUUGCCAAGUAAAGAUGGUAAUGUCAGAAAGGUUGAAGUAAAAGUCACGAAACAAGGGACUGUUAAAGUGUACGCCAGACCAGUUUCUGAUGUCAUUGUUCUCCUUUGAGUAUUUCUAUUCUGUUAUUGGCUCAAUACAUAACUAAGAGCUUGUCACUGAGAGUUUUCAAAUGUGACACUUGCCACGAGCUGAAUUCCAUUCUGUGGAUUACAAAUGGGGUAGGAGAUAGUUUGGCCUAGUGCGGCUUCUCCUAUCUGAAGAUGGGUUUAUGGACAGAACUAUUUCUUCAUGUGGAUUACCGGCUUGAAGUGCCACAGCCAAGAGACACUGAUAUUGUGGACUUAUGUUAUAGUUUGUUACUAGUUCUGGUCAGGAAUACAAUAUCUUAUUAAUAUGUUUUUCCCUGUACAUCAGAUAUGUAUAGGUAGUGAUAUAAUGUAUUAUAUCAGGCAGGGAGUGUGCUGCCUUUUUAGGUUAACUGCAUUAUAAUGAUAGGUUGUGUAGUGUACCACUGCCAUCUAGUGGCAGAAGUUAAUAUCAGCUUUACUUACACAGAUAGUUUAUACAGACAGGAAGUGACCUUUGUUCCAGGAAGCUCUUCCACCAUCUUGAGGUCAUUCUUCCACUGGGCAGGCAGCAUGUAUCUAUCUCUCCCAUGAGGUUUGGGACAUCAUCACCUUUUCACAGACUAAAAUAAAGUUGGAGUCCUCUGGUGGACAAUACAAGCAUGGGCUUCUGUUUACUGGAGUCUCUAACAAGUGUUUAGCUGUCCGUUUAGAACCACACAUAGUCAGUGUUUUGAGAGCGGAAC